CAGGCGCCCUUUUCGCGCCAGUGACGUUGGCGCUGCUCCAGUGAGUUAGCAAACGAACUCAGUUGGCGUAUUUCCCAUCUUUCAAGAUGGAGGAGAAUUAUUUAAGUAGUCUUAGAACAUUUUCAAAACGAAAACUCAUAACCAAAGGAAGACCAACGCCGGAGCCUAAAGUCAGUGGAGGAUGAUAGUGUAGAUGAUUCAAUAUGCUGGGGAUGGAACAAUGAGGUCUGUGUGUUUAAUACACACCUGGUUACGUGGAUCUUGCCGGACACCAGCGGUCCUGCUCCUUCUCCCAGAGGCUGCCAUGCCAGCGCCCUGCUAGGAAACAAAGGCUACGUCUGUGGCGGCUGGACGACGCCUGGGAGUUUAACGUACAGAAGAAAUGCUGGAACAAGUUGAGGCAUCCACACCAGGAUAAGCCCAGUCAAAGCUGAUGUAUAAGCAAGCGCUUGACCCGGGUUCCAGUGGUUGAAGCCCUUCCCUCAUCCAGACUGUUCCCUUGGGAGCGACGACGACGUGGUCGUGUUCGGGGGAAGCAGCAACCUGCGCAUCCUCAUGGACUCGGUGGCUGUUCUCAGGGCUCCAACACAAACUCACAGCAGAGACGUGAUCAUAUUUCAGAGACAGCCGUACUCUCUGUUCAGGUAAGGUGAUAUUCGAUCCACAUCUGUAGCCUGACUUUUUUCUUUUGUGAGACUGACCAUAACAGACUGAAGUAGGCGUCAUCUAUAGCAUCAUGCUAACAUUGACACUUCUUUAUUGGAGGUGUUAAUCAUUAACCUGAGUUCAGCUUCUGAACGUUUCAUUUUCUGUCUAGAUUGUGUGGAAGCCUGUCCCAUAAAUGUAUGAAGUGUAUUUUUUUUAGGUGAAAAGAUUUGAUUAGUGAUUUUUUAAAAUUUAUUGAUAGUUAUUGUUGACAUGUAUUUUUGUUUAUUAAGACUGUCUAAUCUGAGGAGCGAAGUGAGGGGAACUGACACACGUGUUCCAAAGAUUCUGUAAAAAAAAAAAGUGUAUUUUUAUAUGAAAAAAAAUUGGUAAAUAAAGUUGUUGACAUGCCAUCUAUUUGUUUAUUUUUAAGACCUGAUGUUGAAAAUAUUACUUAGUAGACUAAAAUAAAAAAAAAUAAUAAUUCCAUCCUUCACUGAACUAAAUGAAAUCUUAAAAUCUGUUUUUUGAAGCAUGUCUUUAUAUUAAGGACAAUGUUCUGUUAUUUACAAGUAGUAAGAACACACAGGACCU